rnacentral:rRNA from 11 species
CAAACGACUCUCGGCAACGGAUAUCUCGGCUCACGCAUCGAUGAAGAACGUAGCAAAAUGCGAUACUUGGUGUGAAUUGCAGAAUCCCGUGAACCAUCGAGUUUUUGAACGCAAGUUGCGCCCGAAGCCAUCCGGCUGAGGGCACGUCUGCCUGGGCGUCACGC